GAUGAACGCUAGCGGCAGGCCUAAUACAUGCAAGUCGAACGGUGUCUUCGGACAUAGUGGCGCACGGGUGCGUAACACGUAUGCAACCUACCUUACAUUGGGGGAUAGCCUUUCGAAAGGGAGAUUAAUAUCGAAUAAGACAGUAGCUGGGCAUCCAGCAGCUGUUAAAGAUUUAUCGAUGUAAGCUGGGCAUGCGUCCAAUUAGCUAGUUGGUGAGGUAACGGCUCACCAAGGCAAUGAUUGGUAGGGGAACUGAGAGGUCAAUCCCCCACACUGGCACUGAGAUACGAGCCAGACUCCUACGGGAGGCAGCAGUAGGGAAUAUUGGGCAAUGGACGCAAGUCUGACCCAGCCAUGCCGCGUGCAGGAUGAAGGCGUUAUGCGUUGUAAACUGCUUUUAUACAGGAAGAAACGACUCUUGCGAGAGGCAUUGACGGUACUGUAUGAAUAAGCACCGGCUAACUCCGUGCCAGCCGCCGCUGUAAGAC
rnacentral:rRNA from 1 species